GUCUACGGCCAUACUGCCCUGAACACACCCGAUCUCGUCUGAUCUUAGAAGCUAAACAGGGUUGGGCCUGGUUAGUAUUUACUUGGAUGGGAGAAAUACACAACAUGAGGCUGGAGUAU
rnacentral:rRNA from 1 species